UUUAGGUUCACUAACUGAUGAUUUAAUUUGGAUUUAACAGAAGUACAGAACAGAAACCCAGUGGACCACGUCGGGGGACCACCGGACUUAAUGGCGCUGGCACAGCUGGCUGCUUGCAGACGCAGCUCCCAUCGUGUGUGUUAAUCUGUGUAUAUUUGCUGUAACCGAUUAAGGAUCCGUGCUUAAAGAACCCAUGGAUCGUCGGUGGCUGGAUGUGGUUCUGUCGCUGUUCUCUGCGCUCUUCUGCUGCUUUUUCUGCUCUUUGUUGCGGAGAGCCUCGCCGAACGGAGUGGCG